AAACUCUAAGUAGAGACAGGCAAGGAAGGUGUACUUGGGAAUCGUAUGAAAGUGGAAGGUGCAUGUUGGGAAAUAACAUGAGAAAAGCCUGAGGAAGCAUGAGGAAAAGUAGACAGGCUGAGUGCAGCAUGAAGACAUUAUUUUUU